UACGCCCAGAUCGCGUUUAAACACAUGUUCCCGUACGAUCACCGAAGUUAAACAACGUCGAGUCCGGUCAGUACUUAGAUGGGUGACUGCUUGGGAAUACCAA